rnacentral:rRNA from 1 species
UAUUGGUCAAUGGGCGGGAGCCUGAACCAGCCAAGUCGCGUGAGGGAAGACGGUCCUACGGAUUGUAAACCUCUUUUGCCGGGGAGCAACGGGGUCCUUGCGAGGGCCCAAUGAGAGUACCCGGAGAAAAAGCAUCGGCUAACUCCGUGCCAGCAGCCGCGGUAAUACGGAGGAUGCGAGCGUUAUCCGGAUUUAUUGGGUUUAAAGGGUGCGUAGGCGGGAUGCCAAGUCAGCGGUCAAAUACGGGGGCUCAACCUGCGUCCGCCGUUGAAACUGGCGGCCUCGAGUGGGCGAGAAGUAUGCGGAAUGCGUGGUGUAGCGGUGAAAUGCAUAGAUAUCACGCAGAACUCCGAUUGCGAAGGCAGCAUACCGGCGCCCUACUGACGCUGAGGCACGAAAGCGUGGGUAUCGAACAGG